rnacentral:rRNA from 1 species
UGGGGAAUUUUGGACAAUGGGGGAAACCCCUGAUCCAGCCAUCCCGCGUGUGCGAUGAAGGCCUUCGGGUUGUAAAGCACUUUUGGCAGGAAAGAAACGUCGCGGGUUAAUACCCCCGCGAAACUGACGGUACCUGCAGAAUAAGCACCGGCUAACUACGUGCCAGCAGCCGCGGUAAUACGUAGGGUGCAAGCGUUAAUCGGAAUUACUGGGCGUAAAGCGUGCGCAGGCGGUUCGGAAACGAAAGAUGUGAAAUCCCAGAGCUUAACUUUGGAACUGCAUUUUUGAAACUACCGGGCUAGAGUGUGUCAGAGGGAGGUGGAAUUCCGCGUGUAGCAGUGAAAUGCGUAGAUAUGCGGAGGAACACCGAUGGCGAAGGCAGCCUCCUGGGAUAACACUGACGCUCAUGCACGAAAGCGUGGGGAGCAAA